rnacentral:rRNA from 1 species
UACGUAGGGUCCGAGCGUUGUCCGGAAUUACUGGGCGUAAAGAGCUCGUAGGUGGUUGUCGCGUUGUUCGUGAAAACUCACAGCUCAACUGUGGGCGUGCGGGCGAUACGGGCAGACUAGAGUACUGCAGGGGAGACUGGAAUCCUGGUGUAGCGGUGAAAUGCGCAGAUAUCGGGAGGAACACCGAUGGCGAAGGCAGGUCUCUGGGCAUUAACGUGACGCUGAGGAGCGAAAGCAUGGGGAGCGAACGAGG